GGGAAUCUGCCCUUUGGUCUGGGAUAACUGUUGGAAACGACAGCUAAUACCGGAUGAUGACGUAAGUCCAAAGAUUUAUCGCCAGAGGAUGAGCCCGCGUCGGAUUAGCUAGUUGGUGGGGUAAAGGCCUACCAAGGCGACGAUCCGUAGCUGGUCUGAGAGGAUGAUCAGCCACACUGGGACUGAGACACGGCCCAGACUCCUACGGGAGGCAGCAGUGGGGAAUAUUGGACAAUGGGCGAAAGCCUGAUCCAGCAAUGCCGCGUGAGUGAUGAAGGCCUUAGGGUUGUAAAGCUCUUUUACCCGGGAUGAUAAUGACAGUACCGGGAGAAUAAGCUCCGGCUAACUCCGUGCCAGCAGCCGCGGUAAUACGGAGGGAGCUAGCGUUGUUCGGAAUUACUGGGCGUAAGGCGCACGUAGGCGGCUUUGUAAGUUAGAGGUGAAAGCCUGGAGCUCAACUCCAGAACUGCCUUUGAUACUGCAUGGCUUGAAUCCAGGAGAGGUGAGUGGAAUUCCGAGU
rnacentral:rRNA from 1 species